GGGCCUAUAGCUUAGUGGCAAAGCAUUUGACUGCAGAUCAGGAGGUCACCGGUUCUAUCCCAGUAGAACUA
rnacentral:tRNA from 1 species